CAACUUAAAGGCGCGCAGGAUCGCAGCCGGUGCGGGAUAGGAUAGGACGGUAACGAAUAAUUACAUAGUCCACCAUGACCCAGAGGUUUCUCGCAAAGGAUACAACCGCUAGCGGGUCACGGUGUUAUUCUUGCGCGGUUAACGGAGCGGCAACCCGUCUAUUUAUACAGCGAGAACGAAUUUAUUCGCGGACAGGCUGACAUCUCCGGAGACCCGGGGGAGCCGCUGCUCGGAAGAGCUCCGCCGCCUGGACAGGAGCCCUGGGCUACUCCGCGUGAGAGAACAAAGAGGAUCCUUCGAAUUUCUUGUUUGAAGAGCUGAAGUUUAGCAAGAUUACCAGCCUGAGACUCCUGUAUGAUCGUUAACCUCCUACAGGGUUGGAAGUGGAUACUAUGAGUACAUCAACCUAAUCCUUUGCAUAUUUGUAUGGAAAUGUGCCAGCAAGCCCUACAACAGAACAAAAAACAAGGGUGUCGAUAUCAUCCUAUGGAACAUCCCUCAGACUUUAAAAUGAAUUAAUGAAGAGACUGAGAAAAGGCCAUAUAAACCUACCAGACUGCACCAAGACUGG